rnacentral:rRNA from 1 species
AAUGAACGCUGGCGGCGUGCUUAACACAUGCAAGUCGCACGAGAACGCUUCAGCUUGCUGAGGCAAGUAAAGUGGCGUACGGGUGAGUAACACGUGGGCAAUCUACCUCCGAAUUGGGGAUAACAUUGCGAAAGCGAUGCUAAUACCGAAUGAUAUCUUUUCGGCUGCGGCCUUAAAGAUCAAAGGUGGUCACUACAUGUAAACUACUGUUUGGAGAUGAGCCCGCGCACCAUUAGCUAGUUGGUAGGGUAACGGCCUACCAAGGCUUCGAUGGUUAGCUGGUCUGAGAGGAUGAUCAGCCACACUGGAACUGACACACGGUCCAGACUCCUACGGGUGCAG